AACGAACGCUGGCGGCAGGCCUAACACAUGCAAGUCGAACGGGACCUUCGGGUCUAGUGGCGGACGGGUGAGUAACGCGUGGGAACGUGCCCUUUGGUUCGGAAUAGCCCCGGGAAACUGGGAGUAAUACCGGAUAAGCCCUACGGGGGAAAGAUUUAUCGCCAAAGGAUCGGCCCGCGUUGGAUUAGGUAGUUGGUGAGGUAAUGGCUAACCAAGCCGACGAUCCAUAGCUGGUUUGAGAGGAUGCUCAGCGACACUGGGACUGAGACACGGCCCAGACUCCUACGGGAGGCAGCAGUGGGGAAUCUUAGACAAUGGGGGAAACCCUGAUCUAGCCAUGCCGCGUGAUCGAUGAAGGCCUUAGGGUUGUAAAGAUCUUUCAGUGGGAAAGAUAAUGACUGUACCCACAGAAGAAGCCCCGGCUAACUCCGUGCCAGCCGCCGCCGUAA
rnacentral:rRNA from 1 species